rnacentral:rRNA from 1 species
AGAGUUUGAUCCUGGCUCAGGAUGAACGCUAGCUACAGGCUUAACACAUGCAAGUCGAGGGGCAGCAUGGACCCAGUUUUGCUGGGUUUGAUGGCGACCGGCGCACGGGUGAGUAACGCGUAUCCAACCUGCCCUUUACUCCGGGAUAGUCUCCUGAAAGGGAGUUUAAUACCGGAUGUGUUUGUCUUUCCGCAUGGGAGCGACAAAUAAAGAUUGAUUGGUAAAGGAUGGGGAUGCGUCCCAUUAGCUUGUUGGCGGGGUAACGGCCCACCAAGGCGACGAUGGGUAGGGGUUCUGAGAGGAAGGUCCCCCACAUUGGAACUGAGACACGGUCCAAACUCCUACGGGAGGCAGCAGUGAGGAAUAUUGGUCAAUGGGCGGGAGCCUGAACCAGCCAAGUAGCGUGAAGGAUGACGGCCCUACGGGUUGUAAACUUCUUUUAUAAGGGAAUAAAGUUCGCCACGUGUGGUGUUUUGUAUGUACCUUAUGAAUAAGCAUCGGCUAAUUCCGUGCCAGCAGCCGCGGUAAUACGGAAGAUGCGAGCGUUAUCCGGAUUUAUUGGGUUUAAAGGGAGCGUAGGCGGGCUUUUAAGUCAGCGGUCAAAUGCCACGGCUCAACCGUGGCCAGCCGUUGAAACUGCAAGCCUUGAGUCUGCACAGGGCACAUGGAAUUCGUGGUGUAGCGGUGAAAUGCUUAGAUAUCACGAAGAACUCCGAUCGCGAAGGCAUUGUGCCGGGGCAGCACUGACGCUGAGGCUCGAAAGUGUGGGUAUCAAACAGGAUUAGAUACCCUGGUAGUCCGCACGGUAAACGAUGAAUGCUCGCUAUGGGCGAUACAAUGUCCGUGGCCAAGCGAAAGCGUUAAGCAUUCCACCUGGGGAGUACGCCGGCAACGGUGAAACUCAAAGGAAUUGACGGGGGC